rnacentral:rRNA from 1 species
AUGAGGUAUCUGAUGCUUGGUCUCUUUCAAUGGCCUUGUUUCUCGUUAGAUUGGCAGAGAGCGAGAAGGAAACGGGUUUUUGCGACACGGGCUGCUCCCAUACCCGGAGCUUCCUGUUACUAUACCCCCGUUUACAUUUACUCAUUUUCUAAUAUUGUUUGUUGUUUGUUCUUGGUGAUGAUCAAAACUGA